rnacentral:rRNA from 1 species
UGUCGGGUAAGUUCCGACCUGCACGAAUGGCGUAAUGAUGGCCAGGCUGUCUCCACCCGAGACUCAGUGAAAUUGAACUCGCUGUGAAGAUGCAGUGUACCCGCGGCAAGACGGAAAGACCCCGUGAACCUUUACUAUAGCUUGACACUGAACAUUGAGCCUUGAUGUGUAGGAUAGGUGGGAGGCUUUGAAGCGUGGACGCCAGUCUGCGUGGAGCCGACCUUGAAAUACCACCCUUUAAUGUUUGAUGUUCUAACGUGGACCCGUAAUCCGGGUUGCGGACAGUGUCUGGUGGGUAGUUUGACUGGGGCGGUCUCCUCCUAAAGAGUAACGGAGGAGCACGAAGGUUGGCUAAUCCUGGUCGGACAUCAGGAGGUUAGUGCAAUGGCAUAAGCCAGCUUGACUGCGAGCGUGACGGCGCGAGCAGGUGCGAAAGCAGGUCAUAGUGAUCCGGUGGUUCUGAAUGGAAGGGCCAUCGCUCAACGGAUAAAAGGUACUCCGGGGAUAACAGGCUGAUACCGCCCAAGAGUUCAUAUCGACGGCGGUGUUUGGCACCUCGAUGUCGGCUCAUCACAUCCUGGGGCUGAAGUAGGUCCCAAGGGUAUGGCUGUUCGCCAUUUAAAGUGGUACGCGAGCUGGGUUUAGAACGUCGUGAGACAGUUCGGUCCCUAUCUGCCGUGGGCGCUGGAGAACUGAGGGGGGCUGCUCCUAGUACGAGAGGACCGGAGUGGACGCAUCACUGGUGUUCGGGUUGUCAUGCCAAUGGCACUGCCCGGUAGCUAAAUGCGGAAGAGAUAAGUGCUGAAAGCAUCUAAGCACGAAACUUGCCCCGAG